rnacentral:lncRNA from 10 species
AAAAUGUUUGUCAGAUAUUGGCUUGCAAAUAUUUUCUCCCAGUCUGCAGGUUGUCUUUUCACCCUCUAAACAGAGUCUUUCACAGCAUGAAACAAAUGGAGGCUUUAAAUGGCCAUUUCAGAAAAGCCUGACCUAGCCUUGAGAGCGUCGGACACGGUCACUCCACCGGUUCCCACUCACGAGGGCAGAUCAUGGGUUUAAAUCCCAUUUGGGUGUGCUAAUUCAGCUUCACAAUAGCUCACCCACCAUGGGCUUAACGCUAUUCAGUGGCCACAGGUGAGUGUGUUUCAGGACAUCACAAAAAGAUAAGCUGAGAAAGAGUGGCCCACCGCUGCCAGAACAGCUUGAGGGCAAGUCCCCACUGACCCGGAAAGUGAGUCAGUUGCAUCACCCCCUUAGAAACCUGGAAAAUGCUUCAUCAUCGGUGUAGAGCGAGAGCCAGCAUUCAAAACGCCAGGGGGCUUAUCAGGCCAUUUCACCACAACAUAAAGUAACAGGCAGACUUGAAUUCAUCUGGCACUGUUGACCAACACAGAGAGCCAAAACACACACGGAAUUCAAAAUCAGAAAUAAUCCCAAGUUUGAGUCAUCCAAUGUGCUUGUCUACAUUGAUUGCACUCACCAGAUAAAAGUCCAAUGCACUCUGUGGGGUGAAACAGCCUCUGUCUCAGGUUGGGAGUUGCUGCCAUGGAGACCACAAGAGUGGAGAUUUUCUGACACACAGAAAGGAAUGGAUUACAGCUCCUUCUUAUGUAAAUUUCCAUGGAGGGGAAAAAAGAUUAAAAGGAAAAUAAUUCUGCUUUAGUCGUUUUCCUUUAAGGUGAUAAGAUCCUUUGAUUCCAUCGUGGAGAAGAAGGCAACAGCUGUUUGUCACAAAUGAUGGGAAAUGUGCCAACGUCACAACAAGGUUUGAGGGAGGCACAUCUCAUGCUCGGACAUGAACACCCGAUCAUCAUGCUUAUGAACUACAAAAGGAUCUCCAGUAUGGGCUCACGGCAGUUGGCCCUUGAAUAACAUGAAUUUGAACUGCCUGAGUCUGCUAAUAUGUGGAUUAUCUUCUGCUUCUGCACCCUGAGACAGCAAGACCAACCCUUCCUCUUGCUUCUUUUCCUUAGCCUAUUCAACGUGAAGAUGACUAAGGCAUGAAAAAACCCUGAAAAACUGAGCGUUUGCUUCUCAGCGACUCAGCUUGAAAGAGGCUGUUUUAAACUGGAAGAGGUUGAGAGGCCUUCAGUUGGUGAGUUUAUUAUUUUCCCUUGCUCCUCUGUGAAAUGAAGCUCAUGAAGAAGCGUAGGUCAGGUACAGAAUAUAAAAGAAUGACCUUUUCUUUUUCCUGGACAAUUUAAGUGCACUGUCAUCUCACAACCUCAAACUCUUUAAUAUGGUAAUGAGAGGCAAAAGGCAUUUUAAUUUGGAGCUAUGUCGCAGUUUUCCAGCAUGUGAAGAAAGCAUCCUCAGUUGCCAAAAGGUCACGUGUGGGAUUAGUUGCUAGGCUGUGGGAUUAUUUUUCUAGGCUUGCUGGGGAAAAGGGCAAAAGAGAAGAAGCAAACUAGCAGAGUCAUGUGGCGUUUCUGUCCUGGGACUUACGCAAAUUAUGCAAUUGUCCUUUGCAUUCAAAUCUGUUCCUCUUCCACCUGAUAUUUUGCUGAGGGGACAAGUGAAAUUCCAAAGCUCAGUUUGCUGAAGUGUGCAAAAUGCUAAUCAGCUUCCACAGCCCACAAAGUGGCAGAGAGGGCGUGCCUCUCUGGAGAAGAGAGGAGAGACUGGACUAGGAGCUGGGAGGAGUCUGGCUGACUCAGCGGCCCCAGACAAACGCACUUCCAUCCUUUCCCAUUUCCGUUGUGAACUCUUCUCCGUGGGCAAGAAGAGGACUCAGAACAACUGCUAUCUUUUUACAAAGAAGGAUGAUGUGCAAGGGGGUCAUUUACAAGAGGAUCAAGGGUUUGGCUAUGUUGGGAGAUGCUGAUUUUGAUAAAUGUUUCCAUAUCUCUACAAAUGUGCCUUUCUGAGUCUCCAGUUAGACUUGAAAAAGACUUUGGAGAUUGUCCCCUGCACAGUGGCUCUGAGCCUGGACACCUAGGAGAUGCUCAGUAAAUAUCUGUUAAAUAAAUGAAGGAAUGGAUAUAGUCCAAACUACUUGGUCAUGCAUCCAGUUUGUGGCAGAUUUGGGUCUCUAAGGCCCAGUACACUAAUCACUCAGCUGGGAGUUUUUAUUCUGUUCCAUCUUGCUGCUAGGACAACUGUAGCCACCCAGAAGGAUGUCUCAACGCUCUGGAAAGUUCUCUGGCUGAAUGUUGCUAUGAUACAAUCUUUUAACAAGCUGAUUGCUCAGUAGCAAGAGCAAGUGCUAUUUAUGUUGGGUAAAUAAGAAGAAAUGCUGCCCUACUGAUAUUUGUUAAGUGCCCCUUUAAUAUUUGUGAGGAGGCGAUCUUGACAAAAUUUUGAGAGUGUAUACACUGGCAAAUUUUACCUUUUAUGGACUGUAAUAUCCUAUUGCUACUUGAUUUAAAAAUCUUUCCCUCUCUUCACAUAUAUCCAUAUGAAAAAAAACAGCAGAGAGAGAUAUAUGUAUAUUAUAUGGGAGAUAUCUAUCUAUCAUCUAUCUAUCUCCCACUUAUGACCUGAAAGCCCCGUCUUUGAGAUGUUCUGCCUUUCCAGCCUAAAUCAAUGUAUACCUUACAUGUAUUGAUUUAUGUCUUUGCCUGUAACUUCUGUUUUCCUAAAAUGUAUAAAACUAAACUGUAAUUCAGUCACCUUGGGUACACUUUCUCAAGCUUUCUUGAGACUGUUUCCCAGGCCAUGGUCAGAAUAAAC